rnacentral:sRNA from 1 species
AGGUCCGCGAUGGAGCCAUCUGCACUGGGACCUUGGUCCUUGUUCCCUGACCUUGCGCCGAGGGACCAGGAAGGUCAGGUGCUCGCCCCGCGUCGGUGAGUCAGGAGGGUAUGUGGCCAGAACGAGAAAGUGGUGAUCAUGUGUGCGAGCAGUGACACCAUCCGGAGCAUCCUGCUGGCGGCGCACAGGCAUGGCAUGACCAGUGGAGACUACGCCUUCUUCAACAUUGAGCUCUUCAACAGCUCUUCCUAUGGAGAUGGCUCGUGGAAGAGAGGAGACAAACACGACUUUGAAGCUAAGCAAGCAUACUCGUCCCUCCAGACAGUCACUCUACUGAGGACAGUGAAACCUGAGUUUGAGAAGUUUUCCAUGGAGGUGAAAAGUUCAGUUGAGAAACAAGGGCUCAAUAUGGAGGAUUAUGUUAACAUGUUUGUUGAAGGAUUCCACGAUGCCAUCCUCCUCUACGUCUUGGCUCUACAUGAAGUACUCAGAGCUGGUUACAGCAAAAAGGAUGGAGGGAAAAUUAUACAGCAGACUUGGAACAGAACAUUUGAAGGUAUCGCCGGGCAGGUGUCCAUAGAUGCCAACGGAGACCGAUACGGGGAUUUCUCUGUGAUUGCCAUGACUGAUGUGGAGGCGGGCACCCAGGAGGUUAUUGGUGAUUAUUUUGGAAAAGAAGGUCGUUUUGAAAUGCGGCCGAAUGUCAAAUAUCCUUGGGGCCCUUUAAAACUGAGAAUAGAUGAAAACCGAAUUGUAGAGCAUACAAACAGCUCUCCCUGCAAAUCAUGUAAGUCUAGAGACUUAAUUUGCUAUGUAUGUCAUCACCUCUAACCUCAGUGUAAUGUAAGUUUAAAACCCAAGUGUUUCUAUGGGCUUACAUUUUGGAAGUUUACAUUUCUUUCUCUGAUGUGGUAAAACACAUGGGAACAGUUCACAAACUGGCAUCUUGCCUUUAUCAGAUGCUUUCAGGUCUUCCUUCCCUUCCAGCCUUCUCUUCCACAAUGGUAGAAUGUUUCUUCCUAUUUUUACAUCUCUUACUAUAAUCUCUUGGCUAGGUCAUGUUUCCACUUUUAGAGAAAAUCAAAAUAUCAAUUAGUAAAUAUCACUCGCUUAGUCAUCUGUCAUAGCAAGUCUCGUUCUGAUUUUUCAAGUUUGUGGUUACUUUCCAGCUCCUCAGAACCAAAGAGAUAACAUCCCUUAAACAUCUGAACAUCUACACAUUGUCAAAUAAGUGUAAGAUGUAUUACUUAUGAGCAGCUUUGUAUAUAAGUAGAGAAGCAAUUGGAUGUUCUCAUAAUUAGCUUUCAAAUAGGAAAGUUGUUAGAAAUAAUUGUUUUAGAGAAUAAGGUAGUGAGGGAGAACAAAGUGAAUAUAGGUCUUUCA